UUAUGUUCUUUAAACCUAAAGAAUUUGGCGGUGUUUUAUUCUAUUCAGAGGAAUUUGCCCCGUUAUCGAUAAUCCUCGAUUUAUCUUACUUAGUUUUGUUAUCAGUAUGUAUACCGCCGUUAUAAGUUUAUUUUAUUAGGAUAAAAAUUUACUUAUUUCUUAUUUUUGAAUUAUUUCAGGUCAAGGUGCAGCUAAUAAUUAAGUGGAGGUGAGUUACAAUAUUUUUGAAUAAAUGGAUUUUUAUAUUUAAAUUUUAAAUGAAGGUGGAUUUGAUUGUAAUUUUAAUUAUAGUGUUAUUUUGAAUUUUAGCUCUAAGAUAAGUACACAUCGCCCGUCGCUCUA
rnacentral:rRNA from 1 species